rnacentral:rRNA from 1 species
CACACCGCCGUCACACCAUGGGAGUUGGUUCUACCGAAGGCGGUGCGCUAACAGCAAUGGAGGCAGCCGACCACGGUAGGGUCAGCGACUGGGGUG